AUUGAACGCUGGCGGCAGGCCUAACACAUGCAAGUCGAACGAGUGGCGGACGGGUGAGUAAUGUCUGGGCAACUGCCUGACGGACGGGGAUAACUACUGGAACCCUUAGCUACUACCGCAUACCAUCCUUUUGGCCCAGAUGUGUUUAGCGAGUGGGUGGGGUAACGGCUAACCAAGGCGACGAUCCCCAGCUGGGCUGAGAGGAUGAACGGCCACACGGGAACUGAGACACGGUCCAGACUCCUACGGGAGGCAGCAGUGGGGAAUAUUGCACAAUGGGCGCAAGCCUGAUACAGCCAUGCCGCGUGAAUGAAGAAGGCCUUCGGGUUGUAAAGUACUGUCGGCGGGGAGGCGGUAGCCGAAGAAGAAGCACCGGCUAACUCCGUGCCAGCAGCCGCGGUAAUAG
rnacentral:rRNA from 1 species